rnacentral:rRNA from 1 species
UACGAACUGUGCGAACGUUAUUCGGAAUCACUGGGCUUACAGGGUGCGUAGGCGGCUCAACAAGUCAGGUGUGAAAGCCCCCGGCUCAACCGGGGAACUGCGCUUGAAACUGUUAGGCUCGAGUCAGCUAGAGGUACACGGAACUUCCAGUGGAGCGGUGAAAUGUGUUGAUAUUGGAAGGAACACCGGAGGCGAAAGCGGUGUACUGGGGCCGGUCUGACGCUGAGGCACGAAAGCCAGGGGAGCGAACGGG